GCUGGGGCCUCUGGCGGCCGGGCGGCUUCGGCCGGUCCCUCCCGGCAGCCCGCGUCCCCGAGGCCCGCACCCCGGCCCGCCGCCUUCCCCGUCGCCGCGGCCCGGGCCUGAGGUGGAACGCAGCGCGGUCUCACCGCCCCGGCGCCAGCCCUUCCGCGCCCUCGAGGCCCGCCCCGGUGAGCGGAGGGCGCCGCUGAAGCCGUCCCGCAGCCCUUCCCCGCGCAUCUUGGCGAUUAAUGAACAGUGUGGAAGAUAUGUGUAGAAUAAGAAAAGUUAUUUUGGACUGUAGAUCGGGACCUUUUGGCGUUUGCUUUCUUGGAGUCUGGGGAGCGCACGUGCGGCGGUGCCGCCGCUCCCCACACAUCCGUGUGCGCACGUGCAGGACGCCUUGGCCGGCGCCCUGUGCUUCCUCUCCCUUGCCUGCCCGGCCCUGCCCCUCACCCCUGACUCCCUGGAGCAGCGACGUGGACGUCGGGGGUCUGGAUGGGAGGCUGCCGACGGGCGCCCGCAGAGCAACCUGCUUUAGACUUUGCACAAGUGAGAAGCAGCUUUUCAGCGGUCUGGUCCCUGGAAGGCCAGAGGGUGUUCCUGGGGUGCCUGCACCCGUCUGACUACCCUGCCCGGCUGCAACUUCCCGCCUUCUCCAAAAACCCACCCGAGGCCCCUCGCACGCUCCUUCUCGGGCAGUAGUGUCUAGGCGAGCAUUCCUCUCAGCAGUCUUCACCCUCUGGAAGGUGAAUUUUCCAAAAAAGACAAAUCACAAAUCUAGUCAGACGCUUUCGUUUUGGCCAAUUUCUGAUUUCAGACAUAAAGAUAAACUAGCUGGGAAAAUAUAAUGGCUGACAAUAAAGCUGGUGUUAUUGAGUACAUAUGAACCAUAUGAAUUACAUGAAAAGUCUACCAUUUCUGUGGCACUUUGCCGUGUUUCACAGCUUUUUGCACAAGCUCUUGGUUGAGGCUCACACAGGCUGGGAAGGGGCCAGCCGCGGUUUCUCCUCCUUCCUUUUGGGAGAACCUCUGACUGCAGCAGGACGGGCCGCGGGAGGAGCCGGGACCAGGGUGUCCGAGAGCAAGCGGCUCGGCCCUGCCCAGCCUCGGGCACCUCCGUGCCGGUGAAGGGAGCUGCGCCAGGACGACGGCAGAGUCCACGACCACCCGCCAUGACUGCCGCUGCAGGCGCCUGCUCUGGAAGUGCCAGGUCCGGCUGCACAGGGCCGCCCGGGCUCGUGCCCUCCCGUGACCUACAGAGUCACAGACCCAUCCGCAUUGCAGUCUGCUCCUCUUCAUUACUUCAGUGGCAAAUUUGACUCGUCAUUCGAGCAUAAAUAGAAAUAAAUUCCUUUCCUAGUACAGAAAUAAAUAACGGUUUUUGAUAAAUCAGAGGGAAAUGACCCUUUCUCCCCCUCUGUUGAGUGAUUAUGACUCAGCCUUGUUUUCUAGAAAGCCAUCUGGGCUCUCGAUUACCCUCAAAAAAAGGAAGUUCAGGCUUUGGCAAGUGUGGGAGCAUUCUGAUAAGAAAAUGAACCUCCCCAAGAAGAUGGGGUCCUGCCUGAACCCCAGGGGCUGUGCUCGCCCCCAGGCCUUCCGUCCCCAAGGGCUCUUCUGGGGACAGCGCAGAGUGGGAGCCUGGGCUCAGGAGCCGGCGGGGCGUGGGCCGAGCACAAAGGCUGGCGUGGGCACCUCGGCCAGAGGCUUCUCGCACGUGGGGAGACAGCGAAGGUGACCCUGACGCUCAGGCCCUGGCUGGGGCCGCACUGCUGACCUGGGCAUCCAGGAGCCUUCCCGGGCGGCGCUGCAGCCAUUUCUUAUGAAGUUGGACUUGGACGUGGCGGUGGACGUCCGGCCGAGGCUGCGGAGUGUGCGUGAGGGCCUGGGGAGCGGCCUCUCCCUGCCUUGAGAUUUCGCCUGUGAAGCAGCUUACGGCCCCGGCUGUGGAAGGCUGAACAAGACGGCGCCUUGAGAGUGCGCGUCCUGCCUGCCCAGGUCCUGCAGCCCCUCCACACCUCCGCACAGGCUGCCCCGUCUUUCGUUCUCCUUCUCGUCAGCCCUGGAAGUGAGGCCUGCCCUUACCUGGCUGGCCCAGGCCCCGUCUUGCACGAGGUGGGAAGCAUGGGUGGCAAGCGCAGCUCUACGGCAGGGAAUUCUGAGUAGGAGGCAAACUGGCUCACCCGCCUCGGGACGUGGCAGUCUAGACAGGAUCAGCUCGUCACCCACUCCUCUGUUUGCUCCUGUGCGGAUCUUUGAUCUGGGAGCUGAGGCCUGGGGCAGUAAUCAAACGUCUCCCAGAGGAGCUGCACUCUGCACAACACAGCUGUGGUGCUGCUGGGCGGGGGUCCUAGGUGUGUAGCAGGGGUCUUGACCUCGUGCAGAAGGUCAGGGAACGUUUCCCAGAGCAGCAGCAGUGGGCAGGAUUUAGCCCAAAGAAGGUACAGCCAGACGCAGGGAAGGAGAUCUGAGCUUCGGCUCCCACGCCUGGUGGGCCCGGGCAGAGGGCGAGGGCAGCGGCUGGAAGGGGCUGCGGGCACUGGUGGCACGGCCCCCUCGGAGGUGGCUGAGCACCUGGCAUGUCAUGAAGGCAGCUUGCGGUGUCUGUGCUUUAAGGCGACUGCUCUGGUCGCUGCCUGGGCCCUACAGGGAGGGAGCCCACGUGCGGAGAGGCUCUGUGACAGCAGGGGAGGCGGACAGACCCAGGAGCCCCUGAGCCGGGAGGCGCCGUGAGGACGCCCCGAGCAGCAUUCUGAGAGACGCGCUGGAAAUGCAGCGAGUUUAGAGGCAGGCAUGCUGCCCGCGAGGCCUGGGCCAGGCCAGUGGGGUCGCACCCGCGAGUUUAGGCUCAGGAGGGACCUGUGGGCUCGAGCUGGAGUGGACGCCUGGGGAGUGAACGAGGCGGCCUGGGGAGGGGGUGAGGAGAAGGGCAAGGGCAGCGCCCAGCUGGGCCCGGAGGACCCGGAAGCAGGAGCCAGGCUGCUGUGUCUGCUGGCUCAGCACUUCCUUCAGCCUCCAGGGCCCUGUUCUGUAAAAUCUUAGGUGCAAAAUGGCCAGGACCUCCGGCUCUGUGUCUUUCAAAAGAAGAGCCUGGAAAAGGCAGGACUUACCUCUGUUCUUAGAAGUUUACUUUUGUGAGGGCUACUGACAAGUAAACGUAUGAGCAUUAAGCAGCAAUGCCAGGCAAAUGGACUUGGCCCAGUGGUUAGGGCGUCCGUCUACCACAUGGGAGGUCUGCGGUUCAAACCCCGGGCCUCCUUGACCCAUGUGGAGCUGGCCCAUGUGCAGUGCUGAUCCGCGCAAGGAGUGCCCUGCCACGCAGGGGUGUCCCCGUGUAGAGGAGCCACACGCGCAAGUAGUGCGCCCCGUAAGGAGAGCCGCCCAGCGCGAAAGAAAGUGCAGCCUGCCCAGGAAUGGUGCCGCACACACGGAGAGCUGACACAACAAGAUGACACAACAAAAAGAAACACAGAUUCCGGUGCCGCUGAUAACAACAGAAGCGGACAAAAGAACACACAGCAAAUGGACACAGAGAACAGAGAACUGGGGUGGGGGGUGGGGGGGAAGGGGAGAGAAACAAAUAAAAAAUAAAUCUUUAAAAAAAAAGAGCAACAAUGCCAUUUAUUCCUAAAAUUAAGAUCAAGUAUCAUAAUACUCGAUUCAGUACUUGAAAGGCAUAUUUUAAAGAGAUCCCUAAAUCCAGUUCAGACUGGUGGUAGAAGAGGAGAGAGGCGGCAAAAUGCGGCAGAGGGCAGGCAGAGAGCACGCUCCAGCCAGAGCGGAGGCUGGCGAUGGGGCGAGCUGGGCAGCCAGGAGCCCAGAGGGGACGUGACGCCAAAGGUUCUCUCCGCGAUGACAGUGGGCAGCCAAGCAGGUGAGGGAGGGACGGUGUGCACUCCUGCGUGGGCGGCGAGGAGCGCCCAGGCCCAGGAAGCCUGGGCCGGGGGCGCUCGGAAACGAGGGGCCGGCGUGACGGCCGUCUGGGUGGGCAGGAGGCAGGGCCUGGCCUCGGGGAUGAUGUCAAGCUCUUGAGUCUGCCCGGCACAAAUAGAGAAGUGUGGAGGAGGAACUGGUUUGGGGAGAAAAAUGAUGAUUUAGGCUCUAGAUAAGCUGAGUCACCAUCUAGGGCAUGCUUAAUGGAUGGAGACACAUUUCCCCGGUUUCCUCAUGUUACUUAGUUCUGCUUCAAGUUGGAAUUGCUCACAGAACCCAAAGAGGACAGAGGGAAGUGACGGAUGCCCU
rnacentral:lncRNA from 1 species